rnacentral:rRNA from 1 species
GAAAUGCGAUACUUGGUGUGAAUUGCAGAAUCCCGUGAACCAUCGAGUCUUUGAACGCAAGUUGCGCCCGAAGCCAUUACGCUAAGGGCACGCCUGCCUGGGCGUCACGC